UUCAGAGAGUAACCCAUUUUCUGGGUUAUAGGGCUAAUAUUUGACCCAUUGCCUGGGUUGUUUGGGUUUCUGGGUUAUUUUUCAAAGAGUAACCCAUGUUCUGGGUUAUAGGCUUGGCGCUCUCUCUCUCUCUCUACAAUGUAUUUUUCGGUUAGUUGUCUUGACAUCGGACCAGCUUAUUUUCUCCUCUAAACGACACUUUGGUCCCUGGGGCAGGGAGGCAGUCUGAAAGAAGAAAAAUAGCCUUCAGCCUCUGCAGCAUCAGCCUCCUCCUCAACACACAGGAGCAGCUAGACCCUGUUGGGGAGCAGACUCCAUUCAUGCUGCUGGACCAGCAGGAAAUGGAGCAAGAGUCAGGAACAAACCUGAAAAACCUCUUCCGGGGCAGUGGACGUAGCCCUGGAAUAAGGAACCUGAAAUUCCCUCCUUCAAUUGAAGACCUCCAGGACUACCAGCGGUACCAUGAGGGCAGCUGCCCCCCUUCCAAGCAGCUGGAAAAUGCACAGUCCAAAGUGUCGAGGGUCAGGUCUUUUAUAUUUUACCUGGCAAAGGGACAGACUGUAUUGUUCAGUUUGCUAUUUUAAGGAAGUGUGACUUUCCAUGUGAAUUAUUGUGAAGUGGUUAUGACACACACCCGAUGUGAACAGUGACUAACUCAAAGCCUAUGUUUCUGCAGAUACACAGCCCACCUCCAGUCCCCAGGCAAGACCAUCACAACGGCACAUUUCUACUUGAGAACCAUACAGCAGCUCCUCAAAUACUUUCUGGAAACCCUGCCUGCCCAGUCUCACCUGACUGCGAUGGAUGUGGUGAGCGUGCUGCGCCCCGUCACAAAGUGCAUCACAGACACAACCAGGAACGUUGUCCUGCACCAGCUGGCAGUGAAAAGCCACAAUAAGGCCACACUGAGGACCCCAGAGCUGCUGGGUAGUGUGCAUCCCUCUUUCCAAAAUAGUGAAAAUAGUCCAUCUCCAACAGAAGCCUGCCGUGCAUAGUGA